rnacentral:sRNA from 1 species
CAGAAGCCUGUGACAAGGAGACUGGGAGGUGUCUCAAGUGCCUGUACCACACGGAAGGGGAACACUGUCAGUUCUGCCGGUUUGGAUACUAUGGUGACGCCCUCCGGCAGGACUGUCGAAAGUGUGUCUGUAAUUACCUGGGCACCGUGCAAGAGCACUGUAACGGCUCUGACUGCCAGUGCGACAAAGCCACUGGUCAGUGCUUGUGUCUUCCUAAUGUGAUCGGGCAGAACUGUGACCGCUGUGCGCCCAAUACCUGGCAGCUGGCCAGUGGCACUGGCUGUGACCCAUGCAACUGCAAUGCUGCUCAUUCCUUCGGGCCGUCUUGCAAUGAGUUCACGGGGCAGUGCCAGUGCAUGCCUGGGUUUGGAGGCCGCACCUGCAGCGAGUGCCAGGAACUCUUCUGGGGAGACCCCGACGUGGAGUGCCGAGAUGUGGAAGACGUGACUCAGUUUCCUGAUUACCCAGGGUCACAUAACAUGUGUGGAGAAGGCAGGAUUUACCACCUCAGUCCGCAGUUCAUGCUCUUAACCAUAAUGCUGUACUCCUCAAACCUGCCACUCGAGAGCUUGGAAUGUGGGGGGAGAACAAAGACAAUAAAAAGAGAAACUAGCAUUACAAGGCAGGAUGUGGUGAGGGCCAAAUGAAUGGGC